CAGAAAGCCUGGCACGUCAAUCGUUAUUGGCUUCAGUGUUCUGUGGAUUACUGUCAGCCAAAGUUUUUUCAUUGCUGGUGGAUGGAUCGCAGAUGCGUGGAAUAUUUCAUUUGAGAUGGUAGAACUCGACUUUUCUGAAAUAAGAAUUUCGAAUCUGGCGCUCAGGUACCAGAGAAAUAAUGCAGCCUGACAGUCUAAGGCCAUCCCAGCUGCGCACUGGUACCCGACAAUGCACUGAUGCAAGUAGACAAUUGUCGCAACAACCGGAUGAUCUACCGGAAAGGGAUACACAGCAUCACUGGGAAAUUUUUCCGGCAGUAUCAGGGGUCCCAUUAAAACUGCGCUUGUAGUCAAAUAAUAGCUGCAAGUCAUGUAUCCAUGGAACUUCCAACAUUUGUCGACGUAUUUUUUUGACAGAAUCAGCAGCGUAGACUACUCGCAGAGUCGUGAAGUACGAGAACGUCGUAGAGAGAAACUGCAACAGGAAUAAAAAUAUUUAUCUUUAAAUACUCGCUACAAGAAAUUAAGCUAAUAAAGCAGUCAUACGGAUGUGUAGUAUCGCAGACAUAGACUGGGCAUUACUCCAUGUAUGGAUAUUGUACUUGGCGAUUGCGAUCGACAAAUUACGUUCAUUGUUGUUUUUACCAAACCAACGGAACCUUUUAGCCAUUUACUGUUGUAAGCACUCCGUCCGAUUGCUUGGCUCUGAAGUUGUCAGCAGGCCAGGCAUAAAUGAAAAGCUCGAUCGUUGCAUUCCCAACGAUGUUACCAACUCGUAGCUUAACAGACAUCGGCUGAUGCUGUACAUAAGCAUCUUUAGUCCAGUAUCCAGCAACUUAAAUUUUUUCCUGUUAAUUACUCACACUUAACAAUGCCAAACAGCCACAAA